GAGUUUGAUCGUGGCUCAGAGUGAACGCUGGCGGUAGGCCUAACGCAUGCAAGUCGAACGGUAACAGGUCUUUCGGGAUGCUGACGAGUGGCGGACGGGUGAGGAAUACAUCGGAAUCUGCUCAGUCGUGGGGGAUAACGCAUGGAAACGUGCGCUAAUACCGCAUACGACCUUCGGGUGAAAGCAGGGGAAUCUCUCGGGAUCCUUGCGCGAUUGAAUGAGCCGAUGUCGGAUUAGCUAGUUGGUAGGGUAAAAGCCUACCAAGGCCACGAUCCGUAGCUGGUCUGAGAGGAUGAUCAGCCACACUGGGACUGAGACACGGCCCAGACUCCUGCGGGAGGCAGCAGUGGGGAAUAUUGGACAAUGGGGGCAACCCUGAUCCAGCCAUACCGCGUGGGUGAAGAAGGCCUUCUGGGUUGUAAAGCCCUUUUGUUGGGGAAGAAAAACAACGGGUUAAUACCCCGUUGGUAUGACGGUACCCAAAGAAUAAGCACCGGCUAACUUCGUGCCAGCAGCCGCGGUAAUACGAAGGGUGCAAGCGUUACUCGGAAUUACUGGGCGUAAAGGGUGCGUAGGUGGUUGCGCCAGUCUGUCGUGAAAGCCCUGGGCUUAACCUGGGAAUGGCGAUGGAAACUGUGCAACUAGAGUGUGACAGAGGGUGGUGGAAUUCCUGGUGUAGCAGUGAAAUGCGUAGAGAUCAGGAGGAACAUUCGUGGCGAAGGCGGCCACCUGGGUCAACACUGACACUGAGGCACGAAAGCGUGGGGAGCAAACAGGAUUAGAUACCCUGGUAGUCCACGCCCUAAACGAUGCGAACUGGAUGUUGGGUCCAACUUGGGAUUCAGUAUCGAAGCUAACGCGUUAAGUUCGCCGCCUGGGGAGUACGGUCGCAAGACUGAAACUCAAAGGAAUUGACGGGGGCCCGCACAAGCGGUGGAGUAUGUGGUUUAAUUCGAUGCAACGCGCAGAAC
rnacentral:rRNA from 1 species